UACGGAGGGUGCGAGCGUUGUCCGGAUUUAUUGGGCGUAAAGAGCGUGUAGGCGGCCAGGUAGGUCUGCUGUGAAAACUCGAGGCUUAACCUCGAGCUGUCGGCGGAAACCAUCUGGCUAGAGUCCGGAAGAGGAGAAUGGAAUUCCCGGUGUAGCGGUGAAAUGCGCAGAUAUCAGGAAGAACACCCGUGGCGAAGGCGGCUCUCUGGGACGGUACUGACGCUGAGACGCGAAAGCGUGGGGAGCGAACAGG
rnacentral:rRNA from 1 species